UACGGGGGGAGCAAGCGUUGUUCGGAUUUACUGGGCGUAAAGGGCGCGUAGGCGGCGGGAGAAGUCUGUGGUGAAAGCUCGUGGCUCAACUACGAGUCGCCAUAGAUACUCUUCGCUCGAGCACUGUAGAGGCAGAUGGAAUUCCGGGUGUAGCGGUGGAAUGCGUAGAGAUCCGGAAGAACACCGGUGGCGAAGGCGGUCUGCUGGGCAGUAGCUGACGCUGAGGCGCGACAGCGUG
rnacentral:rRNA from 1 species